UUGUCUGUUGUCUGUUCCGGUGUCCUGCACUUGUUAGGGAUCGAUUUCUUAUUAUCUGUAGAAAAUCAGCCGUAUUUUCCAAUAUCCUUGGAUCUUGCCUCUCUUGUGUUCCAAUCGAGGAGAUAAGUCGUUGGACUCUCCCACUCUGUCCUCCAUUUUUCUUAAUGGUUCUGCCUUAUUUUCCACAUACUUCUUUCUCUCUUCUGCAUUCCAGGUAAAUUCCUCAAAUCUCUCUUCCAACUGGCUGCUUUUCUCAUCAGCUUUGUUGGAGUUUCAGCUUAACUUGUCCAGUGAUUUUUUUUAAUUUUAACAAUUAUAUUUUUCACUUAAAUGAGCACUGUUGGUUCAGUUCCAAACCAGCCACGGCCUCCUGAUCUUUCGCCACUCCUUUCAUGUUUGGUCAUUUUAAAGAAGCUCUUACAUUUCCUGUCCGACUACUUCUCGUCCUCAGAGGCCAAUUCCCACGUUCGUGGCCCCCGUUAACCAUUCCUCAUGAGAGUUCAUUCCUUAAUGUGAUUUUCUCUGUGUGCUCCUCUCCAAUGGGAGUUGUUUUGUUCUGGGAACAUCCAGAGGCCCAGGUUGAGAACAUGCAUUUGCACCUACCAGAUCCCUGUGCCUGCCAGAUCCCUGUGCCUACCAGAUCCCUGCGCCUGCCAGAUCCCUGUGCCUGCCAGAUCCCUGAACCUGCCAGAUCCCUGAGCCUACCAGAUCCCUGCGCCUACCAGAUCCCUGCGCCUGCCAGAUCCCUGCGCCUGCCAGAUCCCUGAGCCUACCAGAUCCCUGAGCCUGCCAGAUCCCUGCACCUGCCAGAUCCCUGAGCCUGCCAGAUCCCUGCGCCUACCAGAUCCCUGCGCCUGCCAGAUCCCUGCGCCUGCCAGAUCCCUGAGCCUGCCAGAUCCCUGAGCCUGCCAGAUCCCUGCACCUGCCAGAUUCCUGAACCUGCCAGAUCCCUGCGCCUACCAGAUCCCUGCGCCUGCCAGAUCCCUGCACCUGCCAGAUCCCUGAACCUGCUAGAUCCCUGUGCCUACCAGAUCCCUGUGCUGACCAGAUCCCUGUGCCGACCAGUCCCUGGGUUUUAUGCUGAUCUCCUGGCCUAGGGACCCUGUAACACGCAGUCAGUACAAAUGCAGUCACCAGAGCUGUGGAUACAAAGGGCCCAGCGUUUUUGUUUCUCAUGGGAAACGGUUUGCCUCUCCUCAGAGCCCUGGACAGGCAGCAGGUCUCGUCACCGCUUCCCAGAAUUCCUGAGAGUUUGUGGUGGAAGCGGGCCCGUGCACAUCCAUACAAUCCAUCACGUUGCUGGAGUCCCUUCACGCUGGGGUUUCCAGCCAAGCAGCAGCUUCAGCUCUUCACCGCCCCCACUCACCCUCCUAUUUCUUUUUCUUGUCGUAUUCCGUCGGCCAGGGCCCAGGACAACCCUGGCUGGGGCACCGAGGGAAGACGCUCUUGCUGCACCCCUGGUUGGGCGGGUGCUUUAACUGUGUUUCCAUCAGCGCAACAAGGUUUAGGAAGUUCAUAAAGUUACAACGAGGAAUGCGGUUGAAUUUUAUC